UGAUGGGCACAGGGCUGGUUCAAAUCCUUGCGCACUUAGUGAGCACAGCUAAGGAAGAAGCUGGGACAAAGACAAGGGACCCAGGAGGGAGAUGGGAGGCCACUCACGGGACGGCGGCCUGAGCUCUCAGUGAAGUCUAAUGGGACCAUGGAGUGGGCACAUGAGCUGGAGAUUCAUGCAAUAGACAUGCCUGCUGUUCCUUGCUGCCUUGUCAGCAUGUGGUGUUCUUGAUGCCCCAUGAGCAUAGCAUUCCAGGGAAACCAUGAUGCAUGGAAGUGUGACUCAAAAAUGGCAUCAAAUAGCAAAUAAAAAAUAUCAUGAUAAGAUGAGAGAGAGAGACUGGAAGAAAGAAGAAAGCUCUGUAUUUUAGUAACUUCAAUGAUACCUUUUUCCUGCUUUUUGAAAAAGAGGUCCCACAUUUUCAUUUUGAACAAGGAGCCCCACAGUUGUGAGAACAGCCUGACAGAGGGCAUGGAGACUGAGGAUAGGAGGCCCACUCAGAUCCCAGAGUUAUUCAGAGAGGAAGAAACCAAUGCUUUGAAAGGUUGAGCAACCUGUCCACAUCACUUGACCGGCAAGCAGCACAGCCAAUGACCGUGGACCCAUAGACCUCAGCCACCAACUUCUGUGCUGUCCUGCCUGCUAGGUGUAACAUACCUAAUUCUUUUGCCCCUGUCUCCUUGGAUGUCAGGCUCCUCCUGCCCUCCUUGGCCCCUCCCUGUUGGGUGUACAUCCUUCCAGACUGUUUUCCAUGCACUUCGGUGCCAGGAUGAUUAUCAAGAUGCCACUUUCUUUGCCAUCCUUGUAUCCUUCCUCCAGAUAUACAAGCACAUUUGGAAGCCCUAAGGAUGCAAUUCUUAACUUUUUCUGAACUCCACUGAAAAUAUAAAAACUGCACACAUCCAGGUUAAAUACAACAUAUGACCAUCGUAAUGGAUUAAUAAAAAGCAUAAUUCAAGAUUCUAUAUCUAUUCCUGAUUACAACUCUCAGAUACUUAGGAAAAGAAGAGAACUUCUUCAACCUGAUAGAGUAAUUUAUAGAAAACCUGCAGCCAACAUUAUUCCUACUUGAUGGUGAGAGAUGGGCUACUUUCCUCCUAAGUUCAACGAUAAGGGCUGGCCUAUGUAACCAGUAGAAAACUGUGGAAGUGAUGGGGCAGGACCAGUAGAAUACUAGAGAAGUGAUGGCGUGGGACAACUUCCAAGGCCGCAUCACAGAAGGCAUUGCAGCUUCUGCCGUGGUCUCCUGGACUGCACACUGGGCAAGCCAGGCACCAUACUGUGAGGAUGCUCAAGCAGCCCCGAGGAGAGGCACACGUGGAGAGGAACUGAGGCCUCCUGCCAACAGCCACGUGAGUGCACCACCCAGAAGUGGGUCCUUCAGCCUCAGACAGGCUUUCAGAGGACUGGAGCCCUUGCUGACCUCUGACUGCAGUCCUGUGAGAGACCCUAAGACACAACUUCCCACUCACACUGCUCCUGAAUUCCUGACCACAGAAACUGUGAGAGAUGUGAAGUGCUUAUUGUGGGAAGCUUUGUUAUGUACUUUCUUACAUAAUGCUAGAUUACAAGUGCAGUUGCUGCCCAUGGGUGCCACCUGCUGGUGUUCCUGCCCCUGUGUACCCCCUCCCCUUGAGUGUGUGCCGUGAUGGGAUGUCACUCUGAGACUGCACAGCAAAGCCUCUGGCUUCUACCUUUCUCACUCUCUUGCUCUCUUGUCUCCCUUGCUCUGAGGGAAACUGGCUGCCAUGUUAUAAGCUGCUCUAUGGAGAGGCCCAUGUGGCUAAGAAUUGAGGGAGGCCUCCUGCUGAUAGCCAGUGAGGACCUAAGGACCUCAGUCCCACAUCUGGUGCAGAGCUGCACUGGCCAACAACCAUGUGGCUGAGCUUGGAAGUGGAUCCUCCCCCAACUGAACCUUGAAAUGACAGACGCUCCAGCAGGCACCAUGAUGCCAGCCUUGUAAGAGACCCUGAGCCAGAACACACAGCUGAGAUGUGUCUGGAUUCCUGACCUGCAGAAACUGUGUGGCAAUAAACAUUUGUUGUUUUAAAGCUGCUAAGUUUGGGGGCCAUUUGUUACACAGCAGCAGAUAACAAAUACAGUUCUGAUUAAUGGCACCAGCCUCACCUGUCCUAUUCCUAGAUAUGCUUAGCUUAGCUUUGGUCUAGACUUGGGUCUCCAUGUACAACUAUAACCUUGGUCAUCUGAAGCUCAGAGUAGGAGGGGGUGUAUUGAGGGAAUGAGACUACGAGGAGGCACACCCCAAUAUCUGCUGCUUUCUGGAAAACUCAGCCUCCAAAACUAAGUCAGCAACCAUAGGAGAUGGCCGUUGCAAGGUGGUUAAGCAUAAGGGAAUAACACAGGUUCGGAGCCAGCUUCUACCACCUCUUUCCUUUAACAGAGUUACAGGUCCUCCCUGAGCUCCCAUUUCUCAGGGGCCCUCCUGAAGCAGAGAAGGAAGCCACAACAUGGGCAGUCUAACUAGCACCAGCCAGAGAGCAGACACGAAGACGAAAGGAGAGGUUCUUUGUAAGGAACUUAGCCCUGGAACACGGCAGGUGCUUGUUAUGAGCUUGGCCUUGUAGUUAUCAGGGCACUUGGCAUCAUAGGCAUCACCCCAGCCACUGUUGGCAUGAAGACCUUGCAAUGCCAUCCUGGUUCCUGGACCCGGGCAUAUUAACGAUGAUGCCCACAUCUGAAGGACAAGAAGGUCUCAGUCGUGCAAUCACAGAGGAUUCACCUGGAGCUUCCCUGAGGAAUGUUCUUUUGGGCCGAGUCACCCGCUUGCUCCGGUGAGGCUGAGCUUGAGCUUUGAAUCCUGCCUGGAAUACAAAGGCCCCAUCAAACACUGCCAGGCUCACCAGCUCCCCUCCACCGCAUGCGCCAAGGGUCUCCCUCGCUUGGGUGUUUAUUUCUUGCUGUAAGAAGCGAUGAUUUAAUUCUUGCCUGGGAUAUCAUUCAGCCCAAGUUCGUGCUGAAGUGAGGCAUAUUUCAGCACUCACCAAUGUCCAUAUAGAUAAAAGAGAAAAAAAAGAGAGAGAGAAAACAACCUCAACCAGCCUCUUCAAGAGCUGUGCAUUUGAAACCUGUUUCUUAAAGAUGGAUUGCCCGUUAGGCUGCUAAGAGGUUUUUCUUGACUUGUCAACAUUUUAUGCCCCCACAAACAUUCUUGGCUAUAAAUUAUUCAUUGCCCAGUUAGUGGUUAAAAAAAAAAAAGCUGCCCGGGGCUGAGAUACUUUCUUAAUUCCCCCUCUGCUUUUCAGAUCCAAGUUGUUUUUGUCCCUCCUCCUGCUGGAAAAGUAGAAAUAACUGGAAGUCUCUGGACUCAGAGGUGCGUGGCUAUGGCCGGAUGAGAAAAUAGAGUUGAGUACAGCAUGAGCUUGGCUGGGGUCAGGGAUGGGGGCAAUUACAGUUUUGGGGUCAAGCCUGGACACUG
rnacentral:lncRNA from 10 species